AACGAACGCUGGCGGCAGGCUUAACACAUGCAAGUCGAACGGGUGUAGCAAUACAUCAGUGGCAGACGGGUGAGUAACACGUGGGAACCUUCCUAGGGGUACGGAACAACUCAGGGAAACUUGAGCUAAUACCGUAUACGUCCGUGAGGAGAAAGAUUUAUCGCCCUUAGACGGGCCCGCGUCGGAUUAGGUAGUUGGUGGGGUAACGGCCUACCAAGCCGACGAUCCGUAGCUGAUCUUAGAGGAUGAUCAGCCACACUGGGACUGAGACACGGCCCAGACUCCUACGGGAGGCAGCAGUGGGGAAUCUUGGACAAUGGGCGCAAGCCUGAUCCAGCCAUGCCGCGUGAGUGAAGAAGGCCUUAGGGUUGUAAAGCUCUUUUGGCAGGGACGAUAAUGACGGUACCUGCAGAAUAAGCCCCGGCAAACUUCGUGCCAGCCGCCGCAGUAACAC
rnacentral:rRNA from 1 species